CUGGACAAGACUAGCUGUCAGAAACUUGGCAAGAAAAUAUCUGACAGUGAGCGCAUUCAGCCAACCUCCAUUCUAAAGGCCUCACACAGGAAGAGGGUAUCGCUGCCUCCAUUGGGUAAGGUGACCCGUGAGGGAGUCAACCCCAGGCUCACCCCAAAUGGAAAGGGUGCAGCCGCACACCAGCCCUGCAUUCUCCUCAUCAACAGCCAC
rnacentral:lncRNA from 1 species